rnacentral:rRNA from 1 species
GAUGAACGCUGGCGGCGUGCUUAACACAUGCAAGUCGAACGAGAAAUGUAGACGGAAACCUUCGGGCGGAAGCCUUCAUUUCGAGUGGCGGACGGGUGAGUAACGCGUGGGUAACCUGCCUCAUACAGGGGGAUAACAGUUGGAAACGACUGUUAAUACCGCAUAAGACCACAGCAUCGCAUGAUGCGGGGGUAAAAACUCCGGUGGUAUGAGAUGGACCCGCGUUCGAUUAGCCAGUUGGCGGGGUAACGGCCCACCAAAGCGACGAUCGAUAGCCGAUCUGAGAGGAUGACCGGCCACAUUGGGACUGAGACACGGCCCAAACUCCUACGGGAGGCAGCAGUGGGGAAUAUUGCACAAUGGGGGAAACCCUGAUGCAGCGACGCCGCGUGAGUGAAGAAGUAAUUCGGUAUGUAAAGCUCUAUCAGCAGGGAAGAAAAUGACGGUACCUGAGUAAGAAGCCCCGGCUAACUACGUG